rnacentral:sRNA from 1 species
CAGAGAGCACUGCACACUGAUGUCCUCUGCAGAGCAAGAGAAGCUGGGACAGCAGCCACUUUCCCAUGAUGCUCUGCGCUGAUGCUUCAUCUCUGCCCUGGGAGGCCCCCUUCUCAGGAUGAGAGGAUAAUUCAUCUGCUAUAGCCCAUUCAAUCUUCAGCCUCU